rnacentral:rRNA from 1 species
UUCAUUCAUCGCGUCUCCGCGCCGAGCCCGCCGCGGCGCUCGUCGCCGGCGCUGCGCGUUCUCGCGCAGCGCCGCCGGCGUCGCGGUAGAGCGGCUCGCGGAGCGCGUGCACUUCUCCCCCAGUAUAACACCGCGACCCGUCCGAACGCACACACGCGGUCGAACGCGCCGCGCGGCCGUCCCGAUCCUCGCCGUCAAAAGCGAGGGUCGGAGCCGCGGGCGUCGCGACCGCGAGCGGACGGUAUGCGAACACCGAAGGAUCGCGUCCGCCUCGCUUCGGCGAGGCGUCCGUCUCGUCGCGGCGUCGCCCCCCGUACGGGCCCCGGCGCCUAGCGCGUCGCGGGUCUUCCCGGACGUCGGAGCCGCGCGAUCGCGAGAUCGCGCGCCGGGCGACGCGCCUCGACGGCGAGCUCUCGGACCGGACGCGUCCCGGUCGGCGGUGGUUUUGUUUCGGGCACUCACGGGACCCGUCUUG